rnacentral:rRNA from 1 species
CCUACGGGGCGCAGCAGUGAGGAAUAUUGGUCAAUGGGCGGGAGCCUGAACCAGCCAAGUCGCGUGAGGGAAGACGGUCCUAUGGAUUGUAAACCUCUUUAGGCGGGGAGCAAUGCCGGGCACGUGUGCCCGGAGGGAGAGUACCCGCAGAAUAAGCAUCGGCUAACUCCGUGCCAGCAGCCGCGGUAAUACGGAGGAUGCGAGCGUUAUCCGGAUUUAUUGGGUUUAAAGGGUGCGUAGGCGGGCUUUUAAGUCAGCGGUAAAAAUUCGGGGCUCAACCCCGUCCGGUCGUUGAAACUGGGGGC